CCUACGGGGUGCAGCAGUGGGGAAUAUUGGACAAUGGGCGAAAGCCUGAUCCAGCCAUGCCGCGUGUGUGAAGAAGGCCUUCGGGUUGUAAAGCACUUUCAGUGGGGAAGAAAGCCUUGGGGCUAAUACCCUCGAGGAAGGACAUCACCCACAGAAGAAGCACCGGCUAACUCCGUGCCAGCAGCCGCGGUAAUACGGAGGGUGCGAGCGAUAAUCGGAAUUACUGGGCGUAAAGCGCGCGUAGGCGGUCUGAUAAGCCGGUUGUGAAAGCCCCGGGCUCAACCUGGGAACGGCAUCCGGAACUGUCAGGCUAGAGUGCAGGAGAGGAAGGUAGAAUUCCCGGUGUAGCGGUGAAAUGCGUAGAGAUCGGGAGGAAUACCAGUGGCGAAGGCGGCCUUCUGGACUGACACUGACGCUGAGGUGCGAAAGCGUGGGUAGCAAACAGGAUUAGAUACCCUUGUAGUC
rnacentral:rRNA from 1 species